rnacentral:rRNA from 1 species
UACGUAGGUUCCAAGCGUUAUCCGGAGUGACUGGGCGUAAAGAGUUGCGUAGGCGGUCUGUAAAGCGAAUAGUGAAAUCUGGUGGCUCAACCAUCAACACAUUAUUCGAACUCACAGACUCGAGAGUAGUAGAGGUACCUGGAAUUCCCAGUGUAGGAGUGAAAUCCGUAGAUAUUGGGAGGAACACCGAUGGCGUAGGCAGGGUACUGGACUAUUUCUGACGCUGAGGCACGAAAGCGUGGGGAGCGAACCGG